UACAGAGGGGGCAAGCGUUGUUCGGAAUUACUGGGCGUAAAGGGCGCGUAGGCGGGCCGCCAAGUUCGAGGUGAAAUCCUCCGGCUCAACCGGAGAACUGCCUCGAAUACUGGAGGCCUCGAGGCGGGUAGGGGCGUGCGGAACUGUGGGUGGAGCGGUGAAAUGCGUUGAUAUCCACAGGAACUCCGGUGGCGAAGGCGGCACGCUGGACCCGAUCUGACGCUGAGGCGCGAAAGCCAGGGGAGCAAACGGG
rnacentral:rRNA from 1 species